rnacentral:rRNA from 1 species
UACAGAGGUCCCGAGCGUUGUUCGGAUUCAUUGGGCGUAAAGGGUGCGUAGGCGGCGCGGUAAGUCGGGUGUGAAAUCUCGGAGCUUAACUCCGAAACUGCAUUCGAUACUGCCGUGCUUGAGGACUGGAGAGGAGACUGGAAUUUACGGUGUAGCGGUGAAAUGCGUAGAUAUCGUAAGGAAGACCAGUGGCGAAGGCGGGUCUCUGGACAGUUCCUGACGCUGAGACGCGAAAGCGUGGGGAGCAAACAGG